UACGAAGGGGGCUAGCGUUGCUCGGAAUUACUGGGCGUAAAGCGCACGUAGGCGGAUUGUUAAGUCGGGGGUGAAAUCCUGGAGCUCAACUCCAGAACUGCCUUCGAUACUGGCGAUCUCGAGUUCGGGAGAGGUGAGUGGAACUGCGAGUGUAGAGGUGAAAUUCGUAGAUAUUCGCAAGAACACCAGUGGCGAAAGGCGGCUCACUGGCCCGAUACUGCGCUGAGGUG
rnacentral:rRNA from 1 species